rnacentral:rRNA from 1 species
GUACUAAGGUAGCACAAUAAAAUGCCUUUCAAUUAAAGGAUAGAAUGAAAGAAGACACGUAAUUGUUCUAAAUAAAAUCUUUUACAAUAUUUAACCUAUAACUAAAAUAAAAAUAUUUUAGUACUCGAGAAAGACGACAAGACCCUGUUGAAUUUAAACUAAAAAGUUCUACUGGGGCGGUAUUUAUACAAAAACUUUCCAAUUUCUAACACUAAACUAAUAUUAAAACAGAAACAAAUUACCACAGGGAUAACAGCGCAAUUGUAUUAAAUAGCACACAUACAAAAUACAGGUUACGACCUCGAUGUUGAAUUAAUUUAUCUAUAAUAAGAAACAUUAUUAUAAGAAGGUCUGUUCGACCUAUAAAAAAUUACAUGAU